rnacentral:rRNA from 1 species
AUUGGCUUUUCCUAGAAGGUGGGUAAUGGCAAGAGUGUUAGGUUUUGGGAAGAUAGGUGGACUGGCAAUGCUACACUUGCAACUAGUUGUUGGGAGUUGUAUAAUAUUGCCAAUACUACCAAUGUCUCCAUCAGUGAGGUGUGGGAUGGCGUGACUCUGAAAAUUAACUUUAGGAGAUGUUUUUCGCCGGACAUGCUUACUGCUUGGAAUGAGCUUUUUUGUGUAGUCAAGGAUCUGAGCUUAAAUGAUUGUGAGGACACUAUUAUUUGGGAUCUGGAGCCUAAGGGUAUAUACACUGUUAAAUCUUAUUAUAAUUUGGUGAAUUUUAGAGGAGUGGUUACAGACAACAUUAUUUUGAUCUGA